AGUGAAAUUGCUAGGUCACAUGAUGACUCUCUGUUUAACAUUUUGAGGAACUGAUACAUAUUUUUUCCAAAGGGGCUACACCAUUUUACAUUCCUAUCUGCAAU
rnacentral:pre_miRNA from 1 species